rnacentral:rRNA from 1 species
GACGAACGCUGGCGGCGUGCUUAACACAUGCAAGUCGAACGGAAAGGCCCUGCUUUUGUGGGGUGCUCGAGUGGCGAACGGGUGAGUAACACGUGAGUAACCUGCCCUUGACUUUGGGAUAACUUCAGGAAACUGGGGCUAAUACCGGAUAGGAGCUCCUGCUGCAUGGUGUGGGUUGGAAAGUUUCGGCGGUUGGGGAUGGACUCGCGGCUUAUCAGCUUGUUGGUGGGGUAGUGGCUUACCAAGGCUUUGACGGGUAGCCGGCCUGAGAGGGUGACCGGACACAUUGGGACUGAGAUACGGCCCAGAAUCCUACGGGAGGCAGCAGUGGGGAAUAUUGCACAAUGGGCGGAAGCCUGAUGCAGCAACGCCGCGUGCGGGAUGACGGCCUUCGGGUUGUAAACCGCUUUCGCCUGUGACGAAGCGUGAGUGACGGUAAUGGGUAAAGAAGCACCGGCUAACUACGUG